AAGGGAGACCUAAUUCGGGUAUAAGACGAAAAAAGAGUAGUCGAAACCAAGAAUCAAUCCCAAAAGGUCGGAACGAGGUAUGUGGCUUUCAAACUAGGUUUUGGGUUCACACAAGACCUGAAUCAGGAACAAGGGCUAUUAGCUCAGGUGGUUAGAGCGCACCCCUGAUAAGGGUGAGGUCCCUGGUUCGAGUCCAGGAUGGCCCACCUGCACAGGUGGCAAAAACAAAGAAGCGAGGAAUCAGCCCCUUAUUUUAUUUAUAUAUAAGAGAGAAUGCUGGCUCUGAGUAAAGAGUCCAGAGGAACCUUGAAAACUGCAUAGAGCUAGGUGAAAAAGCCAAAAAAGAAGACCGCAA
rnacentral:tRNA from 1 species